rnacentral:rRNA from 1 species
AAUNNACGGGGGCCCGCACAAGCGGUGGAGCAUGUGGUUUAAUUCGAAGCNACGCGCAGAACCUUACCAUCCCUNGACAUGGCGUGUUACCCAGGGAGACUUGGGAUCCUCUUUGGAGGCGCGCACACAGGUGCUGCAUGGCUGUCGUCAGCUCGUGUCGUGAGAUGUUGGGUUAAGUCCCGCAACGAGCGCAACCCACGUCCUUAGUUGCCAUCAUUCAGUUGGGCACUNUAGGGAGACUGCCGGUGAUAAGCCGCGAGGAAGGUGUGGAUGACGUCAAGUCCUCAUGGCCCNUACGGGAUGGGCUACACACGUGCUACAAUGGCGGUGACAGUGGGACGCGAAGGAGCGAUCUGGAGCAAAUCCCCAAAACGCCGUCUCAGUUCGGAUUGCACUCUGCAANCUCCGGGUGCAUGAACGGCGGAAUCGCUAGUAANUCGUGGAUCAGCAUGC